GACAGGGAAACACAGACAGCACAGGAAACCAGAUCUAUGAAUGCUGUCUGCAAAUUGAAGAAGGAUUGUUUCAUCAAUUUGUGUUUUAACUUCAUCUCCUGAAUCUGGCGGUCUGCAAUAAGGCUGACUCACUGAUCAUGCUUUUUUUCACAACAAAAAAUUCACAGCAUGGACCAAGAAGCCUGAGAUCCCUCAGCAGCUCCAGAUAAAACAGUGUCAAUGUC